rnacentral:tRNA from 1 species
GCGGAUGUGGCGAAAUUGGCAGACGCGCUAGACUUAGGAUCUUGUGCCGCGAGGCGUGGGGGUUCGAGUCCCUUCAUCCGCACAA